GACGAACGCUGGCGGCGUGCUUAACACAUGCAAGUCGAACGAAGUGGCGAACGGGUGAGUAACGCGUAAUCAACCUGCCCUUCAGAGGGGGACAACAGUUGGAAACGACUGCUAAUACCGCAUACUGAAGGAGGGGAUUGCGGCUGAUUAGCUCGUUGGAGGGGUAACGGCCCACCAAGGCGAUGAUGAGUAGGCUGUCUGGAGGGGUGGACGGCCACAUUGGGACUGAGGAACGGGCCAGACUCCUACCGGAGGCAGCAGGGGGGAAUCUUCCGAAAUGGACGACAGUCUGACGGAGCAACGCCGCGUGAGUGAUGACGGCCUUCGGGUUGUAAAGCUCUGUUCAGCGGGGCGCGGUACCGGAAUAGAAAGCCACGGCUAACUACGUGCCAGCAGCCGCGGUAAUAC
rnacentral:rRNA from 1 species